CCCUUAGAUGUUCUGGGCCGCACGCGCGCUACACUGAUGCAUUCAACAAGCCUAGCCUUGACCGAGAGGUCCGGGUAAUCUUUGAAACUGCAUCGUGAUGGGGCUAGAUUAUUGCAAUUAUUAAUCUUCAACGAGGAAUGCCUAGUAAGCGUGAUUCAUCAAAUCGCGUUGAUUACGUCCCUGCCCUUUGUACACACCGCCCGUCGCUCCUACCGAUUGAAUGUGUUGGUGAGGAGCUCGGAUUGGCAGCAGUUGGUGGCUCGCCACCGGCUAUUGCUGAGAAGUCCUCCAAACCGCCCCAUUUAGAGGAAGGAGAAGUCGUAACA
rnacentral:rRNA from 1 species